GCACCUGUAGUUUAUUGAGAAUCCCUUAUUUACACUUAGGGGGUAAUAGUUAUCUAUUCGGGUGUA
rnacentral:tRNA from 1 species